rnacentral:lncRNA from 1 species
UUCUCUGGACUUCACUCCAGUUGAACCAUUCUUUGAAGUAUUCUGAUUACUAAAAUACUACUUUUGUUUCAAAGUUGAAAUUGCCGUUUAUAGCAAUUUCAAGGUGUGUCAGUGAUAAUGAUAAAUCUAUACUUGAGCUGUACUUAAAAUUUUUAUGACUUCUCUGCCGUCUGCGUCUUAUAUAAGCUUAAUAAAAACAUGUCCAAUUUUGACAUGUCCAGUUCUUUUGAUAAUUCCUCAAAACAAAGCAAACACAUACACACAAUGAACAAUGAAAGCUUUCCAUGCCCUAUGAGGCAAGAAUAAAACGUGGAAGGAUUGGAUAGGGCUCACACAUUGUCAUAGUUAGCUUCAGCUCUCAACUUCACACAACCCAGCAGGGAAAACCUCAGCCGAGGAAUCAUCAGAUUGGGGCCAUUUUUUUUUUUUUUUUUUUUGAUUACUAAUUGACAUAGGAGGGCCCAGCCCACUGUGGGCGGUGCCAUCCUUUGACAGGAGGGCCUCAACUGUGUAAGAAAGGUAGCUGAACACGAGUCUGGGAGCAAACCUGAGAGCAGCGUAGCGUUCUAAUUUGGUUUUUGCUUUAGUUCCUGCCUCCCUCAAAGAUAGACGGUAACUUGUAAGUCAAAUGAACUUGUUCCUCACCAAGUUGCUUUUGGUCGUGCAUUUGUCCCAGCAGCAGAAACCUCCCUUUAGGACAGGCAGUAUGUGUUAAGGACAGCCAGGUGGCUGCCACACUCUGUCUAUUUAUUGCUAACUUUGUUCCUCCAGUAGGCAUUCAUAAGUUUAUGGUUUUACUCUUUGGCUCUUUGGUGUCUAACGAUCGUUGUCAGACUUCAUUCAGACAAACCGUCUUACUCUGUUUUAAUAUACUCAGAAUGUGCUCUCUCUUUGGACAGGGAACUUAGGUCUGCUUGCAGGCAAGUGUAAGUUACAAGUUGUGUUUAAGUGGGUUGUCUGAGAUGCUUUUGGUUUUAUCGGCUGCAACCGGUGGAGGCUUCUCGCUUGUCUUCCUUUAAAUGAAGAGCUGAGUUAGCUAAUAGGAAGUACCCAUAACAAUAAAGAGCUAAAAUGUGAACUCUGAGAAUCAUUACUCUUUGGGGACUGAGAGUGAAGCACUAAGACCUGUCCCUCUGGUACCGUUAAGUCUCCAUGGUCAGUAUUUUAGAUGGUAGAGCUAACAGCUUCAGUAACUGCAGGAUAUCAGUGACUUGGUGGGAGAAAUCUGUGUGUGGAGGCUUGUGUGGCCGGCACUGCUGGCAUCUCUAGUGGACUUCUGUGUGGAUACCCUGGUAGUCGGCCUCUUUACACCUUACAUCCAGCUCUCCCCAGGAACCAGGAUCCUGGGUGGUUUAGCUGGUGGCUGGGGAAAGUGAGAGCCUACAGAGAGCUUUAAGAGCAUAGCACAUAGCACCUCUCACAUUGACAUUGCUGGCCGUGCUGGCAUGCGGCUUCAUUCAGCCUGCAGCAGGCGAGAAGAUGCAGUAUAGCUAGGAACCCCCAGCGAGGAGGCAGCAUCACCAGCUGUUGCCAGGGGCUGACUGAGAGUGGCAGUUUGCAUCCUGGUGACUUUAGUGAAGGAGACAAGCUCAGCUUUAUGCUGUAGCUUGCAUUGUUUGUAAAGAUCAUACCAGUUUCCU